rnacentral:rRNA from 1 species
AAUGAACGCUGGCGGCAUGGAUUAGGCAUGCAAGUCGAACGGGCCGUUUUUCGCAAGAGAGACGGCUAGUGUCGAAAGGGUGAGUAACACGUGAGCAACCUGCCCUCGAGUUCGGGAUAGCCCGCGGAAACGUGGAUUAAUACCGAAUGUGGUACCCUGUCUCAUGGCGGGGCUACUGAAGAUUUAUCGCUCGGGGAUGGACUCGCGGCCCAUAAGCUUGUUGGCGGGGUAACGGCCCACCAAGGCUAUGACGGGUAGGUGGUCUGAGAGGAUGGUCACCCACACUGGGACUGAGACACUGCCCAGACUCCUACGGGAGGCUGCAGUCGAGAAUCUUCCGCAAUGGGCGCAAGCCUGACGGAGCAAUGCCGCGUGAGGGAUGAAGGCC